UACGGAGAGGGCAAGCGUUGUUCGGAAUCACUGGGCAUAAAGCGCACGUAGGCGGAUCGGUAAGUCGGUUGUGAAAGCCCGGGGCUCAACCCCGGAAUUGCUUCCGAAACUGCCGGUCUGGAGGGCGAGAGGGGAGAGUGGAACUUCUGGUGGAGCGGUGAAAUGCGUAGAUAUCAGAAGGAACACCGGUGGCGAAAGCGACUCUCUGGCUCGCUUCUGACGCUAAGGUGCGAAAGCUAGGGGAGCGAACGGG
rnacentral:misc_RNA from 1 species